UCUGCUUCUUUGUUAUGCCUACAUACACCCAGUCUCCUUGCCUUCAAGGAGGUGGAUCUGAGAUUUGUUCUGCGGUCUCCUCGCUUGGCUGACUCCUGAGUAAACCCUCACUUUGCUGCAAACCUUGCUGUCUCGGUGUUUUGGCUCGCUGUGCUCGAGCAAGAGGAACCUGGUUCGCUAACACCAAGGGGCGGAUUUGUCUCCUCCAGGUACACUUAGAGCUGCCAUCUUGGUGUAGCCAGCAGUGCAUCGGUCUCACAAGCUGAAGGUCUUGAGUUCUAGAUACACGUUCAGCCUUCUCUACCCAGCUUUAUGCCCUGGGAGACUGACCUCUAUGAAUUUCACCAAUGGGAUCCAUUGUGCUCCAUCCAGUUAAGACUAGAGAAUAAAGAGCACUGGCAGAAGCACCGAAAGAGGGAGGAGAAUAAGGAGAAUCCUGGCUCUCUUCUGUGGGCUCUUCUUUGGCUGGCUAUGUCCCAUGACAGCUCUCUCUCUGGGUUAGUCUACAAAUUCCUCUGCUCAACAUUUGAGCCUCAGUAUGUUCCUGAUGCACUGUUGCUAGUAUGAGGA